AGAGUUUGAUCAUGGCUCAGGAUGAACGCUGGCGGCGUGCUUAACACAUGCAAGUCGAACGGUGAAGCCCAGCUUGCUGGGUGGAUCAGUGGCGAACGGGUGAGUAACACGUGAGCAACCUGCCCCUGACUCUGGGAUAAGCGCUGGAAACGGCGUCUAAUACUGGAUAUGAGACGUGAUCGCAUGUUCGUGUUUGGAAAGAUUUUUCGGUCUGGGAUGGGCUCGCGGCCUAUCAGCUUGUUGGUGAGGUAAUGGCUCACCAAGGCGUCGACGGGUAGCCGGCCUGAGAGGGUGACCGGCCACACUGGGACUGAGACACGGCCCAGACUCCUACGGGAGGCAGCAGUGGGGAAUAUUGCACAAUGGGCGCAAGCCUGAUGCAGCAACGCCGCGUGAGGGAUGACGGCCUUCGGGUUGUAAACCUCUUUUAGCAGGGAAGAAGCGAAAGUGACGCUACCUGCAGAAAAAGCGCCGGCUAACUACGUGCCAGCAGCCGCGGUAAUACGUAGGGCGCAAGCGUUAUCCGGAAUUAUUGGGCGUAAAGAGCUCGUAGGCGGUUUGUCGCGUCUGCUGUGAAAUCCCGAGGCUCAACCUCGGGCCUGCAGUGGGUACGGGCAGACUAGAGUGCGGUAGGGGAGAUUGGAAUUCCUGGUGUAGCGGUGGAAUGCGCAGAUAUCAGGAGGAACACCGAUGGCGAAGGCAGAUCUCUGGGCCGUAACUGACGCUGAGGAGCGAAAGGGUGGGGAGCAAACAGGCUUAGAUACCCUGGUAGUCCACCCCGUAAACGUUGGGAACUAGUUGUGGGGUCCAUUCCACGGAUUCCGUGACGCAGCUAACGCAUUAAGUUCCCCGCCUGGGGAGUACGGCCGCAAGGCUAAAACUCAAAGGAAUUGACGGGGACCCGCACAAGCGGCGGAGCAUGCGGAUUAAUUCGAUGCAACGCGAAGAACCUUACCAAGGCUUGACAUAUACGAGAACGGGCCAG
rnacentral:rRNA from 1 species